GACGAACGCUGGCGGCGUGCCUAAUACAUGCCAGUUGAGCGCUGAAGGUUGGUACUUGUACCAACUGGAUGAGCAGCGAACGGGUGAGUAACGCGUGGGGAAUCUGCCUUUGAGCGGGGGACAACAUUUGGAAACGAAUGCUAAUACCGCAUAAAAACUUUAAACACAAGUUUUAAGUUUGAAAGAUGCAAUUGCAUCACUCAAAGAUGAUCCCGCGUUGUAUUAGCUAGUUGGUGAGGUAAGGGCUCACUAAGGCGAUGAUACAUAGCCGACCUGAGAGGGUGAUCGGCCACAUUGGGACUGAGACACGGCCCAAACUCCUACGGGAGGCAGCAGUAGGGAAUCUUCGGCAAUGGACGAAAGUCUGACCGAGCAACGCCGCGUGAGUGAAGAAGGUUUUCGGAUCGUAAAACUCUGUUGGUAGAGAAGAACGUUGGUGAGAGUGGAAAGCUCAUCAAGUGACGGUAACUACCCAGAAAGGGACGGCUAACUACGUG
rnacentral:rRNA from 1 species